rnacentral:lncRNA from 1 species
CGAGCCACAAUGUGAACCUUUUUGGCGAGUGAGCGCAGCGAACGAGCUAAAAAGUUUCACAUUGUGUCGAGCGGCUGAUAUUUUACGAUAUCUAUACGUAGAAAACCCGAUUAUCUGUUUAUCGUUCUAUUAAUGGUCUUUUUUCCUCUCCCUAAGACAGUUUUACGCUUGACGAAAGCAAGCUUGAUAACGUCUCCUCUCGCAUUGUGACGUCGCUGAUAACUUCUCCUCUCACAUUGUGACGUCGCUGAUAAUGUCUGGUCUCGUUUUGA